UCUUAGAUGACUGAGUGGAAAUAAGUGUUAGAUUUUUAAUCUAAAAACGGCAAUGAGUGCCUCUAAGAA
rnacentral:tRNA from 2 species